AAAAUAGAUGAAGAAUUUGAAUUGCUUGUACUUGCAAGUGAUGGACUAUGGGAUGUGGUACCCAAUGAGGAUGCGGUUUCAAUUGCUCAAACAGAAGAAGAACCUGAGGCGGCAGCCAGAAAAUUAACAGAAGCUGCUUUUACGCGUGGCAGUGCAGACAACAUUACAUGCAUUGUGGUGAGAUUCCAUCAUGACAAGGCAGAUAAAGGCAAUGCCCAGAGUAAUUAGAAAUUGCUAUUUAUGUUAGCAUGUGUAGAUUUAUUGAUGCUUUACGCAAAUCUAGUUUUGCUAUCUGUGCAUGCAUGAUAGUUGAAUGUGCAUAUGGUGGAGUCCAUUUGUUUAUUCAUUGUUUAGUUUCUUAACAAGAGCAUGGACUUGGGUGCUCUCUUCUAUUCUAGAGCCUUCCAUACAGCUGUGUGUCUACUGCCUACCUUCCAGGCG
rnacentral:misc_RNA from 1 species